GACGAACCGUGCGAACGUUGUUCGGAAUCACUGGGCUUAAAGGGAGCGUAGGCGGGCUAUCAAGUCUGGGGUGAAAUCCCACGGCUCAACCGUGGAACUGCCUCAGAUACUGACGGCCUCGAGGGAGAUAGGGGCAUGCGGAACUGUAGGUGGAGCGGUGAAAUGCGUUGAUAUCUACAGGAACUCCGGUGGCGAAGGCGGCAUCCUGGACCGGCAUUGACGCUGAGGCGCGAAAGCCAGGGGAGCAAACGGG
rnacentral:rRNA from 1 species